GCAGAAAUGAUGAGGAUGAUGAUGGCAGCAGCAGCCGUUCUCCUCUGCUUACAUCCUUUACAAUUACUUCUGGUGCUGGGCGCUACAUUCAGACAUGUGGAGAGUGAACUGAGAGUCACAACUUUGUUGGCAAAGAGUUUGUGCCUUCCUACACAGCACACCCAGAACCGGUCGCAACAGCAAGCGGCAGGACUGAAGAACAUUUCCGAACCACAUUUCUCAUUUGGAAGAGUCUGAGACACGGACGUGAAGCGGAAAUCGGCACCCAAGCUGGGGACAGCUAUCCACUGCUGACAUCAGCUCUUCCAAGUAUGUGCAAAGAUGGAAGGCCAACACAAGGCUAGCAGUGUGGACCCCCAUAUCCUGAGUGCAUGCUGCCCACGGUCAAGGAGCCAAAAGCUUCAUUUUCAGCAGGUAACCAAAGCAUCUGAUGAGCCGUGUGGCUUGUAGAACUGUAGUGUGCAUUUGAGCCUGUACCUGUACCUUUUUCAGACUGCUCUUUGGGCUGGUUUCCACCUUUGCUGUUCAUAUUAAACACUCAAACUGUCCCCACUGGUACGGUGAUUUGUGUCAGCGUGUGGGAUUCUAGCCGGAAAAUUCAUCUUAUGCUAUGUUACCCAGUAACUGAACUAUUUUCUUUUGGAGUAAUGACCUCAACAAUGUUCACUAUCAUAGGCCACAGACUAUACCUGUUAUAGACAUCAGCCAACAUUAUUAUGCAUACUCUAUGUGUGCCUCUCUGUUUAUGCCUCACCGCCACUUUGUGGUCACUGCUCUCACCUGUGUGAACUAUGGUGUGUGACAAGAGUGAAACACAGCUGCUGGCGUGUGCUUUGGUGUUGUCAUGCACCUCUGGAUUCAACAUGACCGGGUUGGAGCCACAUGUGUGUGAGCGGGUCUGUGUUUCAGUGACAUAUCAGUGAUGCAGCACAGAGAUUCUGUGCAGAGCAACAGUGAGAAAAGAUGAGGAAGUGGAGGAAGCAAGAAGAAUGAGUUGAGUAAAGUUUGACUUAUCUGACUGUUUUGUUUAAUGCGCCUUAUGGUCCAAAAAAUAUGGUACAUUAAACCCUAUGGAAUAAAAAUAGGAUGCCAUUAAAGUUCAUAUGUGUGUGAAGGUAGACAAGUGAAUACUUUUGGCAGUGCAGUGUAACAAAAAGAACAAACUCAUUGGCCGAGGUAGGCCUCACUGACUUUCACUAUGGUGCCUACAAAAACUGGCCUGGUGUCGUUGUUUCAGAACCAUAAUCAUAUAUGUUGUGCAAAUGUGUGCUGCAUAGGAAAUGGAUUCAUAAAUAUGUGAAACAGUUGGACCAACUAUUAAAAACUGUAGCUUCCCUCUCUUGCCAGCAAAAUUCCCUCCAUUGCAUUACAGAACCUCAAGAUUCCUUCACUGCAGAGGUUUUUCCUACAUUUUGCCAUCUAAGGAAUAAAGCUCUCCAGCCUCAUGUGAUUCUGUGAUUCAUUAACUGACAGCACAAAGAUUAAAACAGAAGUGCUAAGCAGCCAACAAAAACUCUCAUUCAUUCAUUAAUUAAUUCAUUCAUUAGUUUGGUUAUAGGUGCAUACAGUAGACCUGUUUCAUCUCUGCUCACAGUAAAUAGAAGAUUAUUCUGUCGA